rnacentral:tRNA from 1 species
UCCCUGGUGGUCCAGUGGUUAGGAUUCAGCACUUUCACCCCUGCAGCUUGGGUUCAAUCCCUGGUCUGGGAA